UGGACCAAUGAUGGCAAAGUGUUUAUGAACAAAGGAUCAUGAUGAAUCCAGUUCUGUGCAAAAUACUGAGGUCCAUU
rfam:Ailuropoda melanoleuca scaffold117_14, whole genome shotgun sequence.